rnacentral:rRNA from 1 species
AGCAGCCGCGGUAAUUCCAGCUCCAAUAGCGUAUAUUAAAGUUGUUGCAGUUAAAAAGCUCGUAGUUGAAUUUCGGGAUCAAUUAGUCGGUCGUGCCUCUGGUACGUACUGGUUUUAUUGGUUCCUCCCUUCUGACGAAACAUGAUGUCAUUAAUUUGGUGUCGUGGAGAAUCAGGACUGUUACCUUGAAAAGAUUAGAGUGUUUAUAGCAGGCUAACGCUUGAAUACAUUAGCAUGGAAUAAUGAAAUAGGACGUUCGACCCUAUUUUGUUGGUUUCUAGGAUCGACGUAAUGAUUAAUAGGGAUAGUUGGGGGCAUUAGUAUUCAAUUGUCAGAGGUGAAAUUCUUGGAUUUAUUGAAGACUAACUACUGCGAAAGCAUUUGCCAAGGAUGUUUUCAUUAAUCAAGAACGAAAGUUAGGGGAUCGAAGACGAUCAGAUACCGUCGUAGUCUUAACCAUAAACUAUGCCGA